rnacentral:rRNA from 1 species
UACGGAGGGAGCUAGCGUUGUUCGGAAAUACUGGGCGUAAAGCGCACGUAGGCGGCGCAGCAAGUCAGGGGUGAAAUCCCGGGGCUCAACCCCGGAACUGCCCUUGAAACUGCAGUGCUAGAAUCUUGGAGAGGCGAGUGGAAUUCCGAGUGUAGAGGUGAAAUUCGUAGAUAUUCGGAAGAACACCAGUGGCGAAGGCUACUCGCUGGACAAGUAUUGACGCUGAGGUGCGAAAGCGUGGGGAGCAAACAGG